UGCACCCACCUUUUUUUUUUUUAACCCUUCGCGAGGAUUAUGGUUAAUUCGCCAUCCAAACGGGAACAUGUGAACAUCCCGUCAGUCGUCAUCCCAGUGAGAGCAGACAUUGUACAGUGUUUGUUUUAUGUUGGUUCGCUCUCAAAAAGUCUGCCAUGAUUAGUAGUUGUUGUUGAAGGAAAAAGCGAAUGUAACAGUGUGAAAUAAAUGUGCAGUAUAGUUAAAAUGAGGAAAAAAAUAUAUAUUACAGGCAAUUGGUGGGGUGGUACUAAGAGGAGGACCAACAGACUGAUGUAAGGCUUUUUGGCUGACAUCACUUCAGCUCUAAUUUCCUUAAAGAGAGCAAGUCAGACACAGGGUAGGCGGAGAACAAGGAAGCUGCGUGCACAGUGCAGGCGGACAACUAGACACUUCACAUCUGGACUUACGUACUCAGUAGGAAAUGGCUGCUCUAACUACGAGGUAAACUUUUUUUUUUUUUUAAUAUUCAUUUUAUUCAUAUGUCAUGUUUAUUUAAACAAUACUGGUGCAUACAGUCCCUAAAAGUCCUUAAAGUAUACUAUCAAAAUCCUGCAGGCUUGAUUAAAAAAACCACACCUGAUCAAUUCUAAGAUAGACUAUACUUUAAGCAGAAUUAAACUAGUAAACCACCAGUUAUUAUCAAGUCUUAUUAUAGUUCAUUACUGGUGAUGUCGGCUUGACAAUUUGACAUAAAAGUAUUGUACUUUUGUAAGGUUAGGCAUUAGAAUGGUUUGCCGAACCAUUGUCGUUAGGGUAUGGUUAGAUUGGGUCAGCUUGAGACGGGGCUUAGUAAGGUUAUGGUAUGGUUAGGGUAACAUGCUCUUUUUUCCAUAUCAGAAUAUGACGAAGCGUGUGUAGCACUUGGCUUCACUGUAACCAUGGUGGGAGAUGAGGAAAGGCCAGUGUGUGGUUUGAACUUACAAUGGUAUGCAGAGGUAUAGUUAUAACAAUUUUAUAGGCAAAUUAUACUAUUAUAUUACUAUUAUACUACUAUCUGAAAACCAUCCAAUUUGAGGAGGCGCUGCAAAGAGGAAUAGGCGCAACUGCCCAAAGAUAGGUGUGCCAAGCGUGACUGCAGUCUAAACGGCAAUACGUCAUAUUUGAGACUUUUGCGUCAUCUUUGUUCGAGCUAUGUAUAUGAGGCAAACCUUGCUUUACAAACUUUUUUGGGGGGAACAAAACAACGUCAGUCAUUUCACACGGCACACUCGUAAGUAGGUGGUGUGUGUCUUUUUUGUGCAUGGCGUACAUUAACAACAACCUAAGGCCACCACUGUUUAAAAGCUGUGCUCACUCAACAAUCAACACACCUGGCGCUGAUGAGAGCUCCACGUCCUUCUUAAGCCAGCGUGUCCUGCGUUCCAGUGCCAGAACGUAGCUACUUCUACCUGUACACAGCCCCUCGUCAUUCCCUGGUUUCGAGCUGUUUGUCUCGUCUUCCCGGAUCCCCUAUGGACUUCCUGCUGCCUUCGCGGAUCUCGACCUCACGCCUUCCCCCGGACAACGACGCCUCGCUCCAGCCCCUGACCACCUGCCCGUCCCCGGACCUCCGAGCCUGCCUUGCCCUUUCUGGACUUACGCAUCUAUCUCAAUACGCACCUUCAACACCACCCGGUAACACUCUACAUAUAAUCGCUUCACAUAGUCACACGAUAUAUAUUUGGAUUAAUCACACACAUCAUUCUUGUAUAUUAAUAAACACGCUGCAAGCUGAACGACAUCCCUGCCUCCAUGCCGUCUCCUUCUCCACUGUACCGUUACAACUUUUAUAAAUUACCUUAUUUAACUGGUGUUGUUUCUAAUGUUGUGGUCAGUGAGUGGAUGCUUGAAUCCAUGUUACAUGCGAUACGUAACGAUUUACAGUAUG